CCGGCGCCGCCACACACCAACGGCAACGGCGCGGCCGGGCCCCCCGCCGCCGCCGACGCCGCCGCCGAGCCGGAGGCAGACGCCGCCACAGAUCAGGCUGCCGAGCCGGCCGGGGGUGACGCCAGCGUGCCAGCCGACGCAGGAGAGAGGACCGAGCCGUCCGCUGAAAAGGCCACCCCCGCCGCCGAGCCGGAGCCCGCCGCGGCGGCGGAGCCGGAGUCUAAGCCGGAGCCGAAGUCGGAGCCUGAGGUGGACCAGGAGCAGGAGCAGGAGCCGAAGCAGGAGAAGGAACCGGAGCCGGCGGACGACGACGAGGAGGAUAAGGCCGACGCCGAGGCGGCGCAGGAGCCGGCCGAGCCGGCCGACCGGGACCUGGCCUCGGACGCGGCCGGCGAGACGCUGGACGAGACGGAGGGCACGGCCACCGAGGGGACCGCCACCGAGGGCAGCCAGGGCACGGCCGAGGAGCUGGCCGCCAGCUCGGAGGACGAGCCGACCCGGCCGGCCGACGACGCCAGUACUAACGACGAGGCUGCCGAUGCCAGCUCCGAGAGCCGACCGGACGCCGGCGAGUCGACCGCCGAGGAGUCGGAGUCGACCUCGACUCAGUAGUCGUCCUUCGAGUCUGGGGGGCCCUCGGCGCCGGCCCGGGCCCUGACGUCGGCGGCCGGCUGGGGCGUGUCACAUUCUCGGUCGCCCCAGGUGACGCCGGCCGUCGUGUGGGCUGCCGGCGGCCGAACCUGGCGGGGCGAGCCAGGCUGUUACAAAGGCGCUGUGUUUUAUCACGAUGCGCGUGUGCCGGCGGUGUAUGCUGGCGCCGGCGCAAGCGGCAGGCAGUGUGGGUGCGCGUCCGUGGGCUGCGCGAAUGGGGUCGGUCCACCAUUCCCAGUACCAGCUCAUUGUAUUUUGCCAUUGUCCCAUCGUAAGGACGCCGUCGGAGCGGUGGAGGCCGCGGCCCUGGUGGGAGAGACGGCCAAGGGCCUCCUGGCCAAACGCUCCCCCCCCCCCCCUCCUGUCAGCAGAGGUGGGCUGCGUUCGUUUCGUUCGUGUUUUGUGACGUGGCAUUCAGCAGAGCGCAUUGGGGGAUCAGAAGACGUGUUGCCGCGGAUUGAGCCGCACAUCAUUGUACAUUUUAAAAUAAAUGACUGGAAUGACCGUGUGUAACUGAUACAACAUUUUGUGACGUGGCUGAAAUCGCCCGCGCAAUGAGACCCCAAAACAUGACAAAACACUUGUAAUAAAACGAUCGUUCCAGUAACAA